GAUGAACGCUGGCGGUAUGCUUAACACAUGCAAGUCGAACGGACUCUUCGGAGUUAGUGGCGGACGGGUGAGUAACGCGUGAGAAUCUGGCUUUGGGUUCGGGACAACCACUGGAAACGGUGGCUAAUACCGGAUGUGCCGAGAGGUAAAAGAGAAAUUGCCUGAAGAUGAGCUCGCGUCUGAUUAGCUAGUUGGUGAGGUAAAGGCUCACCAAGGCAGCGAUCAGUAGCUGGUCUGAGAGAAUGACCAGCCACACUGGGACUGAGACACGGCCCAGACUCCUACGGGAGGCAGCAGUGGGGAAUUUUCCGCAAUGGGCGAAAGCCUGACGGAGCAAUACCGCGUGAGGGAAGAAGGCUCUUGGGUUGUAAACCUCUUUUCUUAGGGAAGAACAAAAUGACGGUACCUAAGGAAUCAGCAUCGGCUAACUCCGUG
rnacentral:rRNA from 1 species